rnacentral:rRNA from 1 species
UACGUAGGGGGCUAGCGUUAUCCGGAAUUACUGGGCGUAAAGGGUGCGUAGGUGGUUUUUUAAGUCAGAAGUGAAAGGCUACGGCUCAACCGUAGUAAGCUUUUGAAACUAGAGAACUUGAGUGCAGGAGAGGAGAGUAGAAUUCCUAGUGUAGCGGUGAAAUGCGUAGAUAUUAGGAGGAAUACCAGUAGCGAAGGCGGCUCUCUGGACUGUAACUGACACUGAGGCACGAAAGCGUGGGGAGCAAACAGGAUUAGAUACCCUGGUAGUCCACGCCGUAAACGAUGAGUACUAGGUGUCGGGGGUUACCCCCCUCGGUGCCGCAGCUAACGCAUUAAGUACUCCGCCUGGGAAGUACGCUCGCAAGAGUGAA